rnacentral:lncRNA from 1 species
GGCCUCCAUCUUGAAAACGGAAAAUAAAAACAGCAGACCUAUGAAGGUCGAAGGGGAAGAAAAGCUGUAUCGAUUGUUGAGAUCUGGCGACUUGUUUAAAUUUCAUCAGCCUCACUUCUAUGAACUCUCAGAGCUGAUUACCAACUCCUACCACUGUUAACCCUCAUCCAGGAACAAGCUUAUGUCUUUAACAUUCUGAGUGGGCUUCAGCAUCCUUGCAUAUGUUCAAUUCUUAAAAACCUGUUGAAAUAAAAGAUCAGGAGACAUAGGAAGGAUGCCAGAAGAGAGCGUGGCCUCACGUGUACCAGCUCUCUGCUCUCCUUUGCCUUGGGACGUUCCAUCCCUGGAAGUUUCCCUGCCCACAUCUUUGUAGAGAGUCCAUUCUCCAAGCUUCAGUGUGUCAUCUGUGAGGACCGUGACCCACCUGGUACAUCGCCUCAGGGCAUUCAUUUCAGGCUCCUUCUAAAUGGCCAAGUCUUCUGCCAGCCUAACAAGCAUAGCAAGAAGAUAUAGCCCCACAACCACUUUAUGCACAAAGUUAGAAGCAUAAAAUCUCAUGGAAGGAGACCGAUUAUCUACAGAAGAGGUUGUCUUGCCAUUUCUCUCAUGUUAGAGGUAAACCUCAGGUUCUCCUCCUGCCUUUUGCUAAGUAUAUGUCUUGAUGACAAGCCUUCUGCUGAUGAGCUGUGUUUCUGGACCGAUCAUGGUAGAAGUCAAUUAACGUGUCCCUCACUUGGGGUUUCUCAAGGUCAUCUAUGAACUGACUCUGUCUCAAAAAAAAAAAGAAAAAAAAGAAAAGAAAGAAUGAAAAAAAAAACUAGGACAUGGCUAACAGGAAUGGGGACAAAGAAUCUGCACUGAUGAGGAAACUGAAACAGAAAAUCCAGAGUAAAUUCCACCAGGCCACACAGCAAGGUCUGAUAGAGCCAGGAGAGACUUUAUGAAAUCCAGACUCUCACACUAAUGCUCUAUCAGCUAGACCUCCAUGUGAGUCUCCCCAAUGUAGGUAGGAAGUGCUUUCCC